CACGUAGGGGGCGAGCGUUGUCCGGAUUUAUUGGGCGUAAAGAGCUCGUAGGCGGUUUGGCAAGUCGGGUGUGAAAUUUCGAGGCUCAACCUCGAAACGCCACUCGAUACUGCCAUGACUGGAGUCCGGUAGAGGAGUGCGGAAUUCCUGGUGUAGCGGUGAAAUGCGCAGAUAUCAGGAGGAACACCUAUGGCGAAGGCAGCUCGCUGGGACGUUACUGACGCUGAGACGCGAAAGCGUGGGGAGCAAACAGG
rnacentral:rRNA from 1 species